UCAUUGUUAGUAUAAUUCUGUGUCUUAUUUUAUUAUGUUUUGAGCAGAUAACCUCUCUCUGCUUUAUGAGUGUGUGUAUUAUACUACAGUUGUAGUGAGAAUUUUAGUUUCUUUUAAAAACCACAGAAUUAUUAUGAGAUCACAUUUUUGUUUUAAUGCCAAUUGUACAGUUAAAUAAUUUUUACUUCAUAAGAGAACUGGAUCCAUGACCAAGCCAGCUCAGUAAGACAACAGAGUCUCAAGGGAGGGAGGGAGAAUUGGAAAGAAAAAAGACAGCUAAACAACAUUAUAACAUGACUCAGCUAUUGCUAUGGCUGAAGCGGGUUAAUAUUAUCCAGUCUGCUUUUAUAUCAAUAUAGGUACAUUCAAAGAAUAACGUCAGAUCAAAAACACCAGCUUCCAUUGGACCCUUCUUGUUUUUUUGGCUUAUUUGUGUAUUUGGAUGAUAUAAUGGUGAUCAUGAAUUUCGUGACUAAUAUACACUUAAAAGCACAGCUGGAACACUUUUACCUUAGAAUUUCUAACACCCUCAAGGUGUGUUUUUCACAAUGUGUUUUGAACGAAUAUGUGUAGCUGUGUCCUCAUUUUUGAGGUUGCUGAUCUGAAAAUAUACAGGGCUGGAAGAGAUUUCCAAAGAGGAGACAAACCAUCCUUUGAAGUCAUCAGCCUAUGUAGGCUCCCCAGUUUGGGUGUUGAUCCAGCCCAUCCACUUCCCACCCUUUCCUGGAGUCUGUUUCACCCGGGUCGCUCUAUACUGUGUGAAGAUAUACCUAGGAGCCUGGCAGGAGAUCCUCACUGGCUCUCCAGGUUUCUUCAGCUCAGGUCAAGACUGUACCAACUGUAUCUAUGCUUGGGCACCUGUGAAGAGAAAACAAAGAGUGCCUUUCCAGGAGUCUGCCAAAACCAGUACAUCCAGUAGUUACUGAAAGUGGAUCCUGGGGCUACACAAGAGAGUUUCAGAGAAGCCCCAGGUUGCACCAAACCUCCUCCAGACUCCACCAGCUGUGCUUCACCCUGGACAUUUGUCCCUGUAGGGUUCAGUUCCAUGUUCCUAUUCACUGAUGAACACACAGAUACCUGUUCCAGGUCUGAGUGCAGCUGCUUCAUGAAGUAGGGAACUCCCUUUCAGCAUGGAAGUCAUGUGACAUACCUGUAUUUCAAUGUUCAAAUAACAAACUGCAAAAUGUUGUAAAGAC